rnacentral:lncRNA from 1 species
CACACGGUACACUGACAAUGUAAUAGUUGGCAUAUCGGAUUUCUGAAACUAUCUAUGUACCGAUACUGAACACUAUCUACAAUUUUUGGUGUAAAUUUGACUUUUGUGAGAAAUUAUUUUCAAUGAACAUCGUGCUGAUUUGAAAGAUAUUAACCAAAAGGUUACUAUUUUUUAAUAUUAUUAAUCCUUUCUACGAAGGUGUCAAAUUUAGUGUUCAUUGAAAAUCUGAAUGCGGAAGUUCUAUAACGACUAAUAGAAUGGAAUAGAUUUCAACAAAGACAUAAAUAAUUUAAAUGGUUGUUCUCGUACGUGUAGUUCAGACUUCAUUAACGUUAUAGCAUGGGCUGAUGAGAACAGGGAUAAAUACAGAUUAGUGUGUUCAACCGAGUAACAUGGCUUCAAUUUCAAAAGGAGUUGAAGAUUUGUCCCAACUUGAGAGACUUGAUGAAGACAGCAUUCAAAAUGUUCUGAGAGACAGAUAUGCUAAAGAUGAAAUAUAUGUAAG